GUGCCUGUAGUUCAGUUGAAUAGAACGUCGCUCUCCGAAGGCGAAGAUCAUGAGUUUGAAUCUCAUCAGGCACA
rnacentral:tRNA from 1 species